rnacentral:piRNA from 1 species
UCCUCUGAUGAUUUUGCCUGGUGUUU